AGCUUUGUAGUUUAUUUAAAAAUUUUUGUUUGUGGUACAAAGGAUUUGGGGGCUA
rnacentral:tRNA from 1 species